rnacentral:lncRNA from 1 species
AAUCUGAAACCAAGCUUCGUCAUGAAAGAUCUAAAAAGAUUCACAAAGACGAUCAGAGAAAAGAGGAGCAACCCACCAGCUGAGGAAGGCUUGAUCUGUAGCUGAUCAAACUAAAGAAAAAGGAGCCGCCUUUGGCACGAGAUCAUCUACCCUAACAUCACGCAAACAGAAGACCAGAUGGCGAGCUCAGCAGAGCUCCAAGGAGCCAACUUUAUAGUAGAUUCAGUCCAAAGACGAGAUUUUUUAUUCCUUUCGUUGGGGAAAGAGAAAUAGAUCUGAUAGAUGAGGAUAGAAGCAGAGAUCAAGUGAAACAGGUGGCCAAACCCGAUCGACAGAGCUGGACUCUGGAGGAGGAACCCCACGCAGCCGGCAACUCCCUGCGCUCCUAACAGGCGGCGGAUAUCCCAAACCAGAGCUGGAGACAGUGGCGAGACUGGAAGGAGAAGACGGAAGAGGGAAGAGAAGGGGUGGAAUCCGCAACGCUCUUCUCCGUGCGUUGGUUUCGCGUUUGGUGUAGUUGUUAUCGAGGAUGCGGAGAGAGAAAGAAACCGAGUCGGCGGGCAACGGGAAACGUGGUCCGUCGGAUGGAAAGAAGCAACGGGAGAGAUUUGAGCUUCCAUUUAUGAGAGGAUCGCAAUUCGCCAAUGAGAUGUGUAUCCAUAUAUUGUUCGUUCUCCCUCCGUUAACCAAUGCAUGAUGAUGAUGAUGAUGAUGAUGAGAGAGACGUACAAUGUAUAUAAUAAUAAAUCAUAAUCCUUGGGACUAACCGACUCCAUCUCGUCUCUACAUAUGUUUAGCUCUCUGCAAAGCAUGUCCAUAAAUAAAGAUAAUAUAACUCAUGUAUGCCAUCAGGCUCAGGUCAACGCUAUGUUGACUUUGACCGCUACUGUGGUCUCAAAUGAGUGAAAUGGUACAAGCAACUCUGUUGUAGUAGUACGUUUAUGGUGGAGCUUCAAGAGCUAAAAGGGAGAUUCUUGGCUUCUCUGAGAAAAGGAUGCUGCUGCCAUUGGGAGAGAUUCUAAACAAGGAAUUGCCAAUCUCUUAGAAUUUUUCAGAGUAUCAUUUGGAAUUUUUUUUUUAAUUAUCUGAAACGUAUUGAUAUUUACAAAAUUUUAC